rnacentral:antisense_RNA from 28 species
UUCGGUACGACAUUGCUCACAUUGCUUCCAGUAUUAUUUGCCCGCCUCACCGAGUGCGGGCUUUUUUU